AUCUAUAACUCACCCACCUUUCACAAUGGAGAUGAGACUGCAGAUAACUGAACGGGUCAAAGAGCCUGGUAGCUGGUGAUUGGACCUGUGUAAAAAGAGUGUGUGCUUUCCAUCAUUUCCUUUGUAGCCUGCAGUCCAGAAUAAGAACCCAAGCCCAGGCAACAAGUGUCACAU
rnacentral:lncRNA from 13 species